rnacentral:tRNA from 1 species
GCUUGAGUGGCCAAGUGGUAAGGCGUCGCACUUGUAAUGCGAAGAUCCAUGGUUCGACUCCGUGCUUGAGCA